GCAGGCGCGUAAAUUACCCACUCCCAGUUCGGGGAGGUAGUGACGAAAAAUAACAAUACAGGACUCAUAUCCGAGGCCCUGUAAUUGGAAUGAGUACACUUUAAAUCAUUUAACAAGGACCAAUUGGAGGGCAAGUCUGGUGCCAGCAGCUGCGGUAACUCCAGCUCCAAUAGCGUAUAUUAAAGUUGUUGCGGUUAAAACGUUCGUAGUUGAAUUUGUGCUUCAUGCAGGUAGUACAACUAUAAUCGUAGUUUGUACAUUACCUUAUGCAUGCAAGCGUAUUAUCGGUGGAGUUCUAAUAUAUAAUAGUAAAUUAUUAUUAUUAUAUAUACCUCCUAGUUGAAACCUACUUCAGUGCUCUUUAUCGAG
rnacentral:rRNA from 1 species